rnacentral:rRNA from 1 species
GACGAACGCUGGCGGCGUGCUUAACACAUGCAAGUCGAACGGAAAGGCCCUGCUUUUGUGGGGUGCUCGAGUGGCGAACGGGUGAGUAACACGUGAGUAACCUGCCCUUGACUUUGGGAUAACUUCAGGAAACUGGGGCUAAUACCGGAUAGGAGCUCCUGCUGCAUGGUGGGGGUUGGAAAGUUUCGGCGGUUGGGGAUGGACUCGCGGCUUAUCAGCUUGUUGGUGGGGUAGUGGCUUACCAAGGCUUUGACGGGUAGCCGGCCUGAGAGGGUGACCGGCCACAUUGGGACUGAGGUGCGGCCCAGAGUCCUACGGGAGGAAGCAGUGGGGAAUAUUGCACAAUGGGCGGAGGCCUGAUGCAGCAACGCCGCGUGCGGGAUGACGGCCUUCGGGUUGUAAACCGCUUUCGCCUGUGACGAAGCGUGAGUGACGGUAAUGGGUAAAGAAGCACCGGCUAACUACGU